rnacentral:rRNA from 1 species
AACGAACGCUGGCGGCGUGCCUAACACAUGCAAGUCGAACGGAAUCAAGGGGCUUGCUCCUUGGUUUAGUGGCGCACGGGUGAGUAACGCGUGGAUAAUCUGCCCUGGUAUCCGGGAUAACAUUUCGAAAGGAGUGCUAAUACGGGAUAAGCCCACGGGGUCUUCGGACCUUGCGGGAAAAGGUGGCUUCUGAAUAUGCUACCGUAUCAGGAUGAGUCCGCGUACCAUUAGCUAGUUGGCGGGGUAACGGCCCACCAAGGCGACGAUGGUUAGCUGGUCUGAGAGGAUGAUCAGCCACACUGGAACUGAGACACGGUCCAGACUCCUACGGGAGGCAGCAGUGGGGAAUUUUGCGCAAUGGGGGAAACCCUGACGCAGCAACGCCGCGUGAGUGAUGAAGGCCUUCGGGUCGUAAAGCUCUGUCAGAGGGAAAGAAGUGUAUAGUGGUUAAUACCCAUUAUACUUGACGGUACCCUCAAAGGAAGCACCGGCUAACUCCGUGCCAGCAGCCGCCGCGGUAA